rnacentral:siRNA from 1 species
GUACGAAGACAAUGCAGCAUGCA